GGAAGGGUAUGGCUCAGUGACAGAGCAUCUGCCUUGCAUGCAGAAAGUCCCCGGUUUAAUCCCUGGCGUCUCCA